rnacentral:rRNA from 1 species
CAGCGCCACGAGUGGUAGGGAUGAUUAUUUGGCCUAAAGCGUCCGUAGCCGGCCGGAUAAGUCUCCCGUUAAAUCCAGCGUCUCAAGCGUUGGACUGCGGGAGAUACUGUCUGGCUAGAGAGUGGGAGAGGUCUGCGGUAUUCUGGGGGUAGGGGCGAAAUCCUUUGAUCCCCGGAGGACCACCAGUGGCGAAGGCUGCAGACUAGAACACGUCUGACGGUCAGGGACGAAAGCUGGGGUAGCGAACCGGAUUAGAUACCCGAGUAGUCC